UAACAAAAAACCGAGGAUAGCAAAAAC
rnacentral:piRNA from 1 species